CAGUGGAUAAGCUGUCUCCAGAGACAGAGACAGAAAGAUCUAGAAAGGGGAGGGAGGUGUCGGAAAUGGACCAGGUAAACUUGAGGGCAGGGUGAAAGUUGGAGGCAAAGUUAAUAAAGUCAACGAGUUCUGCAUGCGUGCAGGAAGCAGCGCCAAUGCAGUCGUCGAUGUAGCGAAGGAAAAGUGGGGGACAGAUACCAGAAUAGGCACGGAACAUAGAUCGUUCCACAAACCCAACAAAAAGGCAGGCAUAGCUAGGACCCAUACGGGUGCCCAUAGCUACACCUUUAGUUUGGAGGAAAUGGGAGGAGCAAAAGGAGAAAUUAUUAAGAGUAAGGACUAAUUCCACUAGACGGAGCAGAGUGGUGGUAGAGGGGAACUGAUUAGGUCUGGAAUCCAAAAAGAAGCGUAGAGCUUUGAGACCUUCCUGAUGGGGGAUGGAAGUAUAUAAAGACUGGACAUCCGUGGUGAAAAUAAAGCGGUGGGGGCCAGGGAACUUAAAAUCAUCGAAAAGUUUAAGAGCGUGAGAAGUGUCACGAACAUAGGUCGGAAGGGAUUGAACAAGGGGUGAUAAAACAGAAGAGUAGAGGACUGUUUUUCUUUUGGCUUUGCAGUGAACACCAAGCUUAGCCAGCUUACCCCUGAUGUGUCUGAGAAAUGUGAAGUAGACUUCAUUGUUUUCUAUGAAAGAGUCAUAAAGUUCUUAAGUGACAGGUUGAAGGUCAUCCAGCUGCUGCUCCAGAUUCCUUACAUGGUCUUCCAGAUCGCCCAGCCAUAUGCACUUCUGGCAGAUGUGACUCUGCGGGAGAGAGGCGUUCCCCCAAGACUGCCACAUCUCACAUGAGAGGCACAUCACCGUCUCAGGGGACAUCGUAAAAACUAACUGCAAGCUAGCUUGUCCUCUCAAGCUGUUCAAUAAAUUUGAGGUUUCUUUUACAAACCUGAAGAAGGUUGCGUCCUUGGGUUUUCGAAAAGUGGUCGUACAUGAGCCCCUAGAAGCAGGUCCCACCACCACAAAGAACCAAAGACUGAGUGUAACUCCAG